UAGGGAAUCUUCGGCAAUGGGGGGAACCCUGACCGAGCAACGCCGCGUGAGUGAAGAAGGUUUUCGGAUCGUAAAGCUCUGUUGUUAAGGAAGAACGAGUGUGAGAAUGGAAAGUUCAUGCUGUGACGGUACUUAACCAGAAAGGGACGGCUAACUACGUGCCAGCAGCCGCGGUAAUACGUAGGUCCCGAGCGUUGUCCGGAUUUAUUGGGCGUAAAGCGAGCGCAGGCGGUUAGAAAAGUCUGAUGUGAAAGGCAGUGGCUCAACCAUUGUAGGAUUUGUGAGCUGUUUAACUUGUGUGCAGAAGGGGAGGGUGGAAUUCCGUGUGUAGCGGUGAAAUGCGUAGAUAUAUGGAGGAACACCGGUGGCGAAAGCGGCUCUCUGGUCUGUAACUGACGCUGAGGCUCGAAAGCGUGGGGAGCGAACAGG
rnacentral:rRNA from 1 species